CAAUAAAACGAAUCAGUGCGCAGCAUAUUGCGCAUGGCGUCAGUCUACAGUUGAGAAUCAUAGUGACAGGUUGUAUUUCACCGGUAAAAGUGUGUAAUUAUGUAAAAUUUUUGAUAGAAUAUUAUACUAAUACGGUUAUUAUACUAUUAUUAAAUUUUUUUAAUUAAUGCAUGUUCGUUUAAUCAUUAUUAUAUCCGAAUUGAACAUCUUUGUGCAGAUUAUCGUUUGAUUCAAGCUUUGAAGAUGAAGUGGCUUUGAAAAUAUAACCGUUUCUACACAUCGUAAUAAUUAAAAGACGACUUUCACGCAAAUGUGGAAAUUCGUGUUUGUGUCACGUUCGACAUAUUCCGACUUGUCGAAUUGUUGACCAUAUCCCCUCUCCAAUUUGUAAUUUGAUACAUCGAAAUCGCUACGUGUCAUACCGUUGUAACAGACGUUUCGCUUCGGUGAUGCCUCUCGCAAAAUUCCUGAAUUCUUUGACAAGCUUCCUCCAACAUUUCCAUGGGAAUUGUGAUGACCAGUCGCAUGUAGGAUGGAUAAUCAAAGCACUGUGAAAAGAAGGAAGAAAAGAAGCGUGCGUGUAAUCGGCGAAAAUGUCAAAUUGAAUGGCGUACCUGGCCAGGAAGACAAAACACGGACUCCUCCAUUAGCAAUCGCUGCACGAAUUCGAGGUCGGAAUUAAAUUCCGGAAAACAAGGUAAAUCUAUGUAAACCUGGGGAAUCGAUAGAAUAAUUUAUAGUCGAUAAAUUGCGAUCGACCACCUUUAACAUUUCCUGUUUAUCUUUACGUUUAAAUCACGUCUGAUUUUCGACUAAUUACGCGAAAUAUUUACACGAAUGCAAGUUCGAUCGAACCCAUCUUGCAAUCCAGUUUAACGGUAAAUCGCAAGCAAUUUACGAUAAAACGUUUUACAACUUUGCAAAAGUAUUUUGCCUCGUAACUUUCGCAUUUUUUAUAUAUAUAUAUAUAUAUAUUAGGAUGUUUUUCACAAUUCACGAAUCGUAUAUCGUAUAUCGAAAAAUCGCGAAAUAUCGAUAGAUAAAAUUUAGAAGAUUUACCAUCAUGUACAUUGCACCGUUGGGCAUUAUUGGUUUCAGUCCAGGAAUCUUAAUCGUAUAAUCGUACGCCAAUUUCGAAUGAUUCUGAAAUUAGAUAUGGCAAUUUUAAUUAUUAAUUUCUUCUAUUAUUCUUCUAUUAUAAUUCAUUAUAUGUUAAUUUUCUAUUCAAAUUUUUAAAGAAUGGUAAAAUACAAUAACUUACAUAUAACGUUCUCAUAACAUCAUCGUAAAAUUCCUGUGGCGUGUUCUUCAAAAUAGCUGGCAGAGCACCCUGAACAAGCGUAUUGCUACCGAUAAUUCUUUGACUUAAGCAAUGAAGCGCUUUCCUAAUCUAACAAAAAAAAAGAAAAUAUAUAUUAUAUAUCGAGUAUAAUCGUAAGUUCUCGAAAUCUC